AUGCAGCAGCAAGUCAGUGAGUGGAGAGAUGAACUGCUGCAAAAACCCCUUGUGACAGCAAAAGCACUCUCCUACCCAAAGGAAAUUGAGAUGUGGGACGCGCUGCUGAAGGUGGAAUGCUCUCUUGAAGAAGUUUCAUCCUGUUGGGAGGUGAACCUCACAAAAGACCUGAGGAAGAGAAUUUCCAAGGUCAGUGACUGUUGUAAAAUGGACGUUAUUGGUCAGGAUCAAACUCAGAUCAGCACAAAUUCAAACAGGAAUCUAGUGCCAGCAGGUAAAGGCUUUCCUUUUACAGUUUUCCUGUUUGCUUUGCAGGCAAGUGAGGAGGAGAAAGUACUAGUCUGCUGCCGUGAGUCGUCCUUGGCAGCUAUAAGGAAAAGCCACAACGUUGUACAGAACUGUUUCGACGAGCUCUGUCAGUCUGCCAUCAAGACAGUCUGCCAGGUACAGUACAUACUGAUGAUCUGUACAGGCUGCAUCAUUCUCACGGAGAAGCAGCACCAGAUAAGAUGGCAUCUGCUUUAAUUUAGAUUUUUGUAUCACACAUCAUAUAAUGUACUUGGGUGCUGAUGGAGUUUCUGCUGGCAACAUCUUCCCCACAUGCAGAUGUUCUUAAGUAGUUAAUUCAAACCAUUUGUUACAUUUCUCAAACCAGGCAGGUCAAUUAAAGUUAAAUAUGAUCAUGCAUCCAUGUUUUCAGAGAGGGCAGGAGGGAGACCUGCUGGAGAGUCUCAGGACCAAGGAGAAGAAUCUCCCAGAUGUUGUGAUGUCUGCUUUUCUGGUUGAGUCAGCAGCAAGAUUCAGAGACGACGCUGUAGUGCAGCUGCUGGAUCCACAGUCCGCCAUGAACCACCUCCUGUCUCAAGGUACUUCAUUAUGUAUUCCAUUCAUAUAUAUAUAUAUAUAUACUUUCCUUUUUCCACAACGUUUUGUUUUUAAAUCAUCAUAAUGGUCACAUUGUCAUUGUUAUGGGUCAGGUGAUUGGAAGUCGAUCACGGUGGAUGACACUGCGGCGCAGGUUGUCCACAGCUCUGUGGUUGCACUGCAAUCUCUGGUGGAGUCUCUGCUUCAAGGACACGUGCCCCUCGGACACCUACGGACCUGCCUGAAAUAUAAAGAGCAGUUUAAGAGACUUUACCAGCAGUGUAUGAAUCUUAUGAUUAUAAUUACAGCCUUUCAUGAUUACUCCAUUGAACUCCUCCUGAUUGGAAAAAAACUGUAUUAAUUAAUCAUAGCUGCAUUGUGUCAUACACAGUCAAGAAAAACACCCAAUCUGAGACAGUUCCUGUUAAAGCAGAUGUUGUUUUGGCUCAGAGAGAGAAGGAUUUGGACUCUU
rnacentral:lncRNA from 15 species